rnacentral:tRNA from 1 species
GCCUGGGUGGCUCAGUCGGUUAGGUGUCUGACUUUGGCUCAGGUCAUGAUCUCACAGUUUGUGGGUUUGAGCCCCACACUGGGCU